rnacentral:tRNA from 1 species
AGACAUAUAGCAUAGCUGGCAAGUGCAACCCUCUAUGUAGCCGUUUCGUGAAUACGAAAGCAGACGCAAUGAGUGUGUAGACGGUGGUUCGAGUCCACCUAUGUCUCUA